UCCGGUUUGUCACCGGCAGUCUCCUUAGAGUUCCCACCAUUACGUGCUGGCAACUAAGGACAAGGGUUGCGCUCGUUGCGGGACUUAACCCAACAUCUCACGACACGAGCUGACGACAGCCAUGCAGCACCUGUGUUCCAGUUCCCUUUCGGGCACCCCCACAUCUCUGCGGGGUUCCGAGGAUGUCAAGGCCAGGUAAGGUUCUUCGCGUUGCAUCGAAUUAAACCACAUGCUCCACCGCUUGUGCGGGUCCCCGUCAAUUCCUUUGAGUUUUAAUCUUGCGACCGUACUCCCCAGGCGGAUAACUUAAUGCGUUAGCUGCGCCACCCAGGCACCAAGUGUCCGGACAGCUAGUUAUCAUCGUUUACGGCGUGGACUAC
rnacentral:misc_RNA from 1 species